rnacentral:rRNA from 1 species
GAUGAACGCUGGCGGCGUGCCUAAUACAUGCAAGUCGAGCGAACAGACGAGGAGCUUGCUCCUCUGACGUUAGCGGCGGACGGGUGAGUAACACGUGGAUAACCUACCUAUAAGACUGGGAUAACUUCGGGAAACCGGAGCUAAUACCGGAUAAUAUAUUGAACCGCAUGGUUCAAUAGUGAAAGACGGUUUUGCUGUCACUUAUAGAUGGAUCCGCGCCGCAUUAGCUAGUUGGUAAGGUAACAGCUUACCAAGGCAACGAUGCGUAGCCGACCUGAGAGGGUGAUCGGCCACACUGGAACUGAGACACGGUCCAGACUCCCACGGGAGGCAGCAGUAGGGAAUCUUCCGCAAUGGGCGAAAGCCUGACGGAGCAACGCCGCGUGAGUGAUGAAGGUCUUCGGAUCGUAAAACUCUGUUAUUAGGGAAGAACAAAUGUGUAAGUAACUAUGCACGUCUUGACGGUACCUAAUCAGAAAGCCACGGCUAACUACGUG